CAAGGUUGCUUCCUGUGCCCUCUAAGAUUUGAGUGCCAUUGUUUAGGGUUUGCAUUCGAUUAGAGAUUAGAGAUUAGAGAGAGCUUUCUUCCGUCCAUUCUUAGAUGAAGAUGUGAUUUGAUUGACUGCUGACUCAUUCAUCCACGUAUCAAGCGAUGGCUUGAUAGAUGAGUGAAUGAUGCAGGAGGUAACUCAGGUCUCAUGCCGUCUUUGUUUGGACUGAAGGGAGCUCCCUCUGUUAUUCAUUAUUUAUUAUCGAUAUUUUAUUUGAUCUUUAUUAGAGAUCGAGAAUUGAAGGUUUGUAUCGAUCGAUCGGAAUCAUAAGUUCAUUGGUCAGUGAUAAUUGAUGACAAGGUAGAUCCGUUAUCUUAGCGGCUCCCCUAGUGCCGGCCCUACGGAUGUGGAGGGAGGUUCAUGUAGGUACACAGGUCAUAGGCGCAUGACGGGGUAAACCCUAGGUCGUCAGUUCCUGAGAAUCGACCCCUGACCAUUACGCCAGAGAUACCAUGCGCCCACCGUCUGCGCUACGCCCUAGGGGCGAUGAUUCAUCUAAUUAAAGACUUAAUUGUUCAAUGAUAAAUUAUUUGGGUUAGAGAUCUUGAAAAUGUGGUAGGGUCACAUUAGCGGUUCUCUCGUGACUAUCCCCUACCAUUGAGAUUGAGUUCAGUAGGAACCUAAAUUGGUAAGUUUAUGGAGAUUCGCAGUCUACAGAGGUGAUGAAAUUUUUUGUCAAGUUUUAAUCCCGAUCACUACAGUUAUUAUCCCAUGUAUUUACCAAUUGAGUCAGUCCUUGGGCUAAAUGAUGAAUCACAUAACACUGAAUCUAGGAUAAUCAGUGUAGCUUUAUAAAAAUUUCCUAACAGUCAUUAGUAUAAAUUCAAGAAGCGCUAAUGGCAAGCGGCUUAAAAGUCCAACAUCCUAUUAUUACACAUCUUAUUCAAAAUUAUGAUCUCUGAUGGUCGAAGUCCGUCGAUAAUAGGCAAAUUAUAUGGCAUCUAGUGGGGGUGGCCUAUCGACCUCUCGCGAUAUUUGAUCAUCUACUUUAACCCAAAAUUAUAAUUUAGAUGGAAAUAUGAAUACAUGAAAAAUUUAACUAAUUUUGACUUAAAUUUUAAUCGUAAAUUAUAAGAGGACCAUAAAAGACUAAACUAAGUAUCUGGACUCCUCUCUAAACUAUAUUAAUUUUUUUAUUUAUCGUGACUGCCUUUGAGCUUAUGACUGCAAGAAAAUAACGACGUCAUAAUACGAAUUUUAAAUUUAAAGAUUUAUACAAAUUUGAAUGGAAAAUAAUGAUUUUCAUUGAUUUCUAAAUUAAAUUAUAAUUAAUAAAUAAAUAUGAGGGCAUCGAGUACGGAUCGGAUGCCACGUCCUAUAUACUCAUACCCGAAUAUCUUCUAUACAUUUUUUUCGAUGCCCUCUUCCAUUAAUUAAAAAAAAAACCCUGUGAUUUAUUAGGUUUCCCAAGUCGACGUCAGACUCCUCGGCUGAUGGCGGCGGAGAACGAGGCGGGAUGGAAGCAUAGCGACGAAGAAGGAUAGAGAGCGAGAUCGACUUCAACUCGUCCUUCGAUUGUCAACCCGUUGCAUCUCAGGUCUGGUUCUUCCGGCUGCAACCGACCGCGGAGAUGCGCUGGAAGCAGUAGGGUGCCGAUGAACGAGGCGGUGCUCUGCUAUCCAAGGGGACGAAGGCGGCGAAGAACGCGCAGGUGAUUCGGAUGCGGAGCGGCGACCCUACAUCACGCCGAAGGAGAUUUUUCUCGGCCCGCCCAUUCUGCUAGAGCUGGAGGCCCCGAUCAAGAUCUGCGGUAUGCUGGCAGAAAAUUGGUUUUUGUUGCGAUUUUGAAAUUCCGUCGCGAUCCUAGAUCCAAUCCAAAGCUCUGUUCUUCGUAUUAUAUCUUUGUUGCCUUUUGCCCAUCAGGGCUUUCAUCCAUGUGCCGAUCUGAUCUAAAACCACCAUUAGAAAUUAGAAAUUGAUCAAGAACAACCUAAAUUAGUGUCAAAAUCUUGUUUCCGCAGCCACUAGAAAAAUCUAAAGGCUGCUGUCUGGUACUAUACGUGAAUUGAAUGUAUCAUCACCAGUGCCAUUGAAUGAUGUUUAGCUCCAACUAUUUGGUAUUGUCUACACAGAUCUUAUUCCUGUAUCAGCUAAACCCGUGAAGUAUUUCUUAAUCCAAGAAUAGAAUGAAGAUUUGUAUUUUUUUUUCAUGGAUAUGUUUGUAAAUGGGAGAUGAGCCAUGAAAAAUGAUAAUGCAUGAAUUAGUUGUGUAUGAUUCUACGCUUUGAUUGCUUAUUUGUAAUGACCACCAUGCUUGAUUGAAAUA